GUUAAACAAGUGCUUGAAGGCAGUAUGCUUGGUAAAAGUCAUCGCCAUUCUCUAAUCUUGAGUACCCAGGGACACGAUACACUGCGGAAGGCUGCAGGGACCUCUGCCCAGGAAAGCCAGGCUUGCAUGAAGGAAAUGAUUUCCUAUGAUUCUGCUUACUGCUUAAAAAAAUUAAUCAAGUUUUCUGCCUGACAAGAUCCAGUAUCUGCCGGAGGAGCCCCACCUUCUGCUACUAUUAUGUUCUUCAGAUGAGUAGAAGAGAGUGGGGAGGGAGAGAGCAGGAAGAAGAAAGGAAGAAUAAUGUCUUGAAAUUGUUUUCUAAGGAUAAUGGUCUCCAGCUUCGUCAAUGUUCCUGCAAAGGACAUGAUGCUGACUUUGAAGAUGCAAGCUUCCACAUCUACAGCCUCAAGGAAACAAAUUCAGCCAACCAACUGAGGGAGCUUUCCUUGUCCUGCCUCAAGAUGAGAUCACAGUCUGCCCAACACCAUGAUUUAGGCCUUGUGACACCUGGUAUGGAAGACCCAGGAUAAAAAUUUACCUGGAUGCAAGGCUAUUCAGAAUGAAGAUUAAUGAUAUGGUUUGGCUGUGUCCCCACCCAAACUUCAUCUUGAAUUCCCACGUGUUGUGAGAGGGACCUGGUGGGAGAUAAUUGAACCAUGGGGGCAGGUCUUUCUCAUGCUGUUCUCAUGAGAGUGAAUAAGUCUCAUGAAACCUGAUGGUUUUAUAAGGGGGAAUUUCCCUGCACAAGCUCUCUCUCUGCCUUUUGCCAUCCAUGUAAGACGUGACUUGGUCCUCCUUGCCUUCUACCAUGAUUAUGAGGCCUCCCCAGCCACGUGGAACUGUGAGUCCAUUAAACCUCUUUCUUUUG
rnacentral:lncRNA from 1 species